rnacentral:rRNA from 1 species
GUGCCAGCAGCCGCGGUAAUACAGAGGUGGCAAACGUUGUCCGGAUUUAUUGGGUGUAAAGGGCAUGUAGGUGGUCUUGUAAGUCAAAGGUGAAAUGGCCCGGCUCAACCAGGUCAUUGCCUUUGAAACUGCCGGACUCGAGUACGGAAGAGGAGAGCGGAAUUCCCAGUGUAGCGGUGAAAUGCGUAGAUAUUGGGAGGAACACCGGUGGCGAAGGCGGCUCUCUGGUCCGAAACUGACACUGAGAUGCGAAAGCCAGGGGAGCAAACGGGAUUAGAAACCCUAGUAGUCC